rnacentral:rRNA from 1 species
GACGAACGCUGGCGGCGUGCUUAACACAUGCAAGUCGAACGGAAAGGCCCUGCUUGCAGGGUACUCGAGUGGCGAACGGGUGAGUAACACGUGGGUGAUCUGCCCUGCACUUCGGGAUAAGCCUGGGAAACUGGGUCUAAUACCGGAUAGGAGCCAUUUUUUGUGUGAUGGUUGGAAAGUUUUUUCGGUGUAGGAUGAGCUCGCGGCCUAUCAGCUUGUUGGUGGGGUAAUGGCCUACCAAGGCGGCGACGGGUAGCCGGCCUGAGAGGGUGGACGGCCACAUUGGGACUGAGAUACGGCCCAGACUCCUACGGGAGGCAGCAGUGGGGAAUAUUGCACAAUGGGCGCAAGCCUGAUGCAGCGACGCCGCGUGGGGGAUGACGGCCUUCGGGUUGUAAACUCCUUUCGCUAGGGACGAAGCUUUUUGUGACGGUACCUAGAUAAGAAGCACCGGCUAACUACGUG